AUUGAACGCUGGCGGCAGGCUUAACACAUGCAAGUCGAACGAGUGGCGGACGGGUGAGUAAUGUCUGGGAAACUGCCCGAUGGAGGGGGAUAACUACUGGAAACGGUAGCUAAUACCGCAUACCAUCGGAUGUGCCCAGAUGGGAUUAGCUAGUAGGUGGGGUAACGGCUCACCUAGGCGACGAUCCCUAGCUGGUCUGAGAGGAUGACCAGCCACACUGGAACUUAGACACGGGCCAGACUCCUACGGGAGGCAGCAGUGGGGAAUAGUGCGCAGUGGGGGCAACCCUGACGCAGCCAUGCCGCGUGAAUGAAGAAGGCCUUCGGGUUGUAAAGUUCUUUCGGUAGCGAGGCGUUAACUACAGAAGAAGCACCGGCUAACUCCGUGCCAGCCGCCGCGGUAUAC
rnacentral:rRNA from 1 species